UACCAGGACCCCGAGUGUUCGGGACGAUUAUUGGGCCUAAAGCAUCCGUAGCCGGUUCUACAAGUCUUCCGUUAAAUCCACCUGCUUAACAGAUGGGCUGCGGAGGAUACUAUAGAGCUAGGAGGCGGGAGAGGCAAGCGGUACUUAGUGGGUAGGGGUAAAAUCCGUUGAUCCAUUGAAGACCACCAGUGGCGAAGGCGGCUUGCCAGAACGCACUCGACGGUGAGGGAUGAAAGCUGGGGGAGCAAACCGG
rnacentral:rRNA from 1 species